rnacentral:rRNA from 1 species
UACGUAGGGGGCUAGCGUUGUCCGGAAUCAUUGGGCGUAAAGAGCGCGUAGGCGGCCAGAUAAGUCCGGUGUGAAAGUCAAAGGCUCAACCUUUGAAUGCCGCUGGAAACUGUCUGGCUAGAGUCCGGGAGGGGCGAGUGGAAUUCCUGGUGUAGCGGUGAAAUGCGCAGAUAUCAGGAGGAACACCAAUGGCGAAGGCAGCUCGCUGGAACGGUACUGACGCUGAGGCACGAAAGCUAGGGGAGCGAACGGG